ACGGUUAUGAAUAGUGAAGUGAGUGGAUGUAUAAGAUGGAGUAAGAUUUAUUAGUUAUGAAAAAUAAUUUAUUUUUUAAGUGAUUUUGAACCAAAAAAAAAAUAGUUAUUUUAAGAGAAAAUAUAAUUUAUAAUUUUCAUAUUAAUUUGUUAUAUUUGUCGUUUUUAUUUUUAUAUUGAAAAUUAACAGGUUAUAGAUUCAAGUCCAUGCUUGUUGACACGUGCUAAGUAAAAAUUUGAGAAAAAAAUAAUAAAUAAGUGAAUAAUAAAUAAUUUCUUAUAAAAAUAAAAAAAAAUUAAUGGAAUAUAUUACAAAAUUAUAUUACAAAAGAUCAUAGAAUAUUUAAAACAAAUUAAUCGAUAAAUUAAAAAUUAUAAAUGGAUUUAGAAAUUUUGAUUGAAUCUUAUUGAAAUUGCAAGAGAGUUUUUUUGGAUCAGAAUACCACUCAAUCAGAAGAUUGGUCUACAGUGUUACUAGACACUUGUUUACUUCAUUGAAGACCUGCAAGUUUAUGAGUUAAACAUGAGUGAGUUCAUGAGUGAGAACUUUAAAGGAUACCGGGAUUAGGGAGAACUCUUAAAAACGUGCGAGAACUUUAAGAAAAGUAGAAUUACAAAAACAACAAGAACUAUAAAAAACAACAAGAAUCUUCAGAACUUGAACUUUGAAUAUCAUAUGCAUUUUGCCUUUGAUCGUCUGUUCCAGGAACGGAUAUGGCUAAUUUUGGUCUUUCAAAUCGGAUUUAAACGGAGUGAUUUAUGAAUUUAUAACUUGUGAAAUGUAAAAUUUGUAAAAAUCUGUUGCUAUUAUUACAAUAUAAGAACUUUAAGAACAACUUUGAGAGCUUGCUACCAUAUUCAAGUACAUCACACUGUCUGACACCUGCCAGACACUUUAUCUGCAAGGAUGCUUACUUUCUGCCAAACUGCAGAUCAAUGUAUUCUGGGACGCAACAAUUAUGUUCACGCAACAAUUAUGUUCACGCAACAAUACAAAGGAUAUACCAGCUGGGUGACAUCGUCUUGUCCAUUUUAAUCUAUGCUUAUGUCAUAUUUCGAAACUUACGAUCGAACUUUGAUGUCUCUGCGUUUAAAAUUCAAUUAAACAAAAUAAUCUUAAUCUUUGAAGCCUUUAAUGAAGUUUAAAGGGCCAUAGAACAGGUAGAAGAUACAGAAUUUGGAGCAGUUCGAAAUGAUAUCGCAGUACGAGAUGAAUUUGAAAACUCAUACUGCAAAAUCGUGAGUGCUGCCUAGGAGUUUAUAAUAGUCCAAUGACAAGGACCUGAUUCUGUUCGGGCUGUAUCUGUCAUACUUACAUUUACAACUUCAAAUAAUAGUUCUGAUAUACAUUCUAGAAUAAAAUUAUCAAUAAUAAAAUUACCAAUCUUUGAAGGAAAUUAUAAUUUUUGGAUAAAGUUUAGAAACAUAUUUGAAUCAUUAAUAUAUAAUAAUGACGCAUUGACAAAUAUUGAAAAUUUUCACUAUUUGAAUUUAUUUUUCACUGCGACGAAAGUUAUAGUAGUUUCUCAGCAUGUAGUUUCUGAAGAUAACUACAUGAUUGCAUAAAUGGUAUUCAAAAACAAAUUUGAAGACAAAACUCUUGAAACAAAAUCACGUACAUACAUCUUUGGAACAUAUUUGUAUUAAAUAAGGAAUCAUUUUAUGGAGUGAGACGUUUACUAGACAAGACGAACAAUAAUCUAUCUUGGCAUUACAAGCUUCAGAAGAGCCUGUAAAUUCCUGUAAAUCAUUAUUUAUUUGAUAACAACUAAAUUAGAUACAGUAACAAAAGAAGAAUGGAAUUCAAUCGAUUUUAACUCUAAUUAGAUUAAAUUAUCAAAUUUAACAUAAUUUCUGAAAAUCUAAUGUAGAUAUUUAGAGAGAGAAUAACGGCAAAAAAAAACCAUUACUACCAAAUCUUCUAAGUCACAGCUUAUAAACGCAAGUAUUCGAACCCGAAGGAAUAGGUACUCACAUGCCUCACAAAUUCCUUGCUCUUUGAGCAAUAAAUCAUACAAUCUCCCACAAUGCUUCUGAAUUUAAAGCAUUGUCUCUAAGCACGAAUCAUGCAUAUACAAAAAAUAGACGUAUGUUUUAAUUAUCUGAAUACUAGGUAUAGAAACAAAGAAUGUACGCGCGGUUCUUGCAAAAAAUACAAACAUUCUUUUGCAUGUUAGAGAUAGCAAUAAUAGUAGAGUACAAAUUGCAACAUUAAUUGCAUCUCCGACAAUAACAAACAAGAAAACAAAGAAUGAGACACAAAAACCUACAGCCUUAUCAUAUUUUUGCAAUCAUCGAAACAGUAAUUUUGUCUACGGCAAUAGUGAUAAGCAUUAUUAGAUUCAAGUUCUUAGUCAAAUUUUAUAAUUAGUGCAAUGGUAAAGAAACUUGACUUAUUUUGUAUCGAAUCAGACAUAUGCAUUGUGGGAAUUGAAGAUUCCACAUGUAAAGUAUAAUAUAGCAUAUGUUUAGAAAUAGCGUUGAAAUAUAGUUUUUUAUGUCUCUUUUUACCAAACAUAAUUGAAAAUAUACUAAAACCAUCUUUCUAAUUAAACGAGAAAUUAAUGUCAUCUGGACUAAAAUUCGUAGAUUCGCACUUUAAUAAAUCCGAUAGAAUAUACAUGAUAAUCGACGCAGGAUUAUUCUGAGAUCUCCAAUGUAUUGGUUUCAUACUUCUAAAAUGGGUCACUAAUAACAUUAAAUCAUUGGAUUAUGAAGAUCGGAAGUAAGCAUCGAAAUCAAAUUGGAAAAGAAAACAAAAACAUUAGGACUUUUUUAGAAUGCGCAUCAAGAUAAAUUAUAUCAUUUUUUUCAAUAGACUUCAUGUAACGAAAUACAUCAUCCUCUCCGAUAUAUCACAGAUUCGACCCAUUAGGUUUAUUAAGACCAGUUGUUAUUCUACACUCGAAUUGUUGCUGCAACAAUUAUGGCAACUAAAAAUUUCUUAGAACGAAUCUCUUCCUCAGGAUAUUUAUACUUUAUGGAUAAAUUUUCAGAUUGAAUUAAUACUUAAUUAAUAAUUUGAAUUGCAAUCUCCAGAUGAGCUACAACAGAUUACAGAAUAAUCGAAUUACAUGGAUUUUGUGAUGCCUCGGAAAGAGCAUAUGGUGCCUAUAUUUACAUGUACCUACGGUCACAACAUGACAAUGGACAAUAGUAUGUACACUUCCUAUGUGCCAAAUCAAGAAUGACAUCAUUAAGGAAAACUACUUUAUUAUAUUUGGAACUUUGCACUUGCUAUUUGCAUAACUUAUAGAAAACCAUUACCGUGGAAAACCGUCAUAAAUGGAACUACAGAAAUACAAUAAUUAUGAUGUACUAUCUGUUCAAAAUCCAGCCGAUAUAGUUUCUUCAGAUUUUCUUUCAUGGCAAUAUUGAUGGAAUGGACCAGUAUGGUUAUUAUAAGAUGCAAUGGUCACAAACAUAUUUCUAUAUGGGAGAGUUGACGGAGAAAAGACAAUGCAUUCACAUCUUUUCGUUUUCAAUUCAUUAAAAACUUGCGAAGGAGAUUGCAUAAGAAGAAUCUACUCACGAAUGAUUCUUCAUUUGACUCAUUUACUGUACAUAUACGAACUUUUAUAUAUGGGACGCUCUGAUCAAAAUAUCACAAUAAAUGCACUUCAGAAUAAAAAUUCAAAACAUAAGGAACAAUCUAAUUCCAAAAUUCCAAAGAACAAUGUAUCGCACUCCACUUUUAGAUGUUUCUUAGAAAUAGGCGAUAAAUUAAGCAAUACCUCGAUUAAAUUUGAACACAAACAUCCCAUUAUCAUUCAUUCAGACUAUAAGUUAACCAGAUUACUUAUUACACUUAUAGUUAUUACAUGCGAAUCAUUAAAUUGUAGUUUUUUCAUUGCGCAAACUAUUUUGGAUACCAUCUACUAGAAGAAUAGUAAAGAAUAUUGGAUGUUUAAGAUGCUUUCGAGUAAAAUUCAAGGUAAUAACACAAAUAAUGAGUAAUUUACUUAUUUACUCCUGCACUAUUUCUUUAAGUAUCUGCGGGGUGGAUUAUGUAGGUUUGUAUUCAGUUAAGCACAGAAGAUGUACUAAGAUCAAUACUAAGAGUUAUAUCUGUUUAUUCGUAUAUUUCGCAAAAAAAGAGAUUUAUAUUAAAUUAGAUUAAAUUAGAUACAUUGAUUUUAUAAAUGUAUUCCUAAACUUUUUAAGGAGAUUUAUUGCACGUCGAAACCAUGUUUUAUUCGGAUAAACGAUAUCUAUUCGGAUAAUAAAACUAACUUUAUUGGAGUACGAAAUGAAUUACUUGAAUUUAAAAGACUCAUUUGAUACAAAGAAAGAAAUUCAGAAAUAAUAAUUUCUUUUAAAUAAGGAAAUACAAUGGCACAUAAUCCUCGUACACCUUAUUUUGAGAAUUUGUAAGAGAAUUCUAUUAAAUCACCAAAAACUCAUUUGAAGCGAAUAAUCGGGAACGCGAUAUUGACAUGAAUUAUAUAUUGUCUUAUAAGUAGAGACAGUUCUUAAUUCCCACUCUGUAAGCCCCUUAUCAUCCGAUUUCGACAUAAUUCUCCUAAUCUUACUUUCUGGUUGGUGAUUCUCUCCGCCCUCCUUGCACUUGAUCUGCAAAAUAUAACAAUGAAUAGAUCGAACAGAUUCCAGAUCAUUCAAAGGAGUGCACAACAAUUUUGGUAAAAUGAAUAUCUGCACUAACUACAAUGCAACAAAUGAUGUGCAACAUUAGCUAACAAAUUCGGACCCGGUAUGAUGGUUACCAAGGAUGAUCUCUCGUCACUAUAAUGGCGACUAAGACGAAUUCUGGAACUGUAUCUUGGAAAAGACAAAAUCGCUAGGAUAGUAACAAUCAGAACAGUUGAAGGAAUAAUUAAAAGACCGAUGACCAAAGUCUGUAUUUUACCUAUGCACGAAGAUGCAACUCCAUCUACUAUUCCAGGAUGCACAAAUAAAAAAAAAUCACCAAAAGCUAACUCAAUAGGCUCAUGAUAUUUGUUAAUAUAAUCAAUAUAAACUACUUUUUUUUUACUACUUAAAUUAUAAACUACUUUAUUUAAUUUUAGAAUUAUGAGUUGUAAUUUAUAAUGUAUUGUAAGAAUUGAUUUCGCGCAUUUAUUAUCGGAUUGUCAAUAUUGUAUGUAUGAUUAAACGCAAUGCAUUCAAAGUGGGCGGCAUAUUCAGACACUGAAUAAAUGAUGUCCAGAACAGAUUGUUUAAGAUGAUACUACAAGAACAAUGUCGUUUUUGAGAGAAAAAUUUGAUAACCGUUUGCUUUGCACAUUUAAAAACAAUUUGGCAUGGCUGGAGUGUCAAUAUGAUCUUGGAAUUUGAAACAAAAUUUUUAGCUAUGUCAGUUUCAAUAGCAGAAACUUUCUUUGGAUCGGGAUAUCAUUCAAUCAGAAGUUGAUCCGUUAUUGUAUACAACACUUGUGUGUCUCAUUGAAGACCCGAAAAUUCAUGAAUUAAACAUGAUGGCAAGUUCAGAGGAUACCAGGCUUGAAGAGAACUCUUAAAAACGUGCGAGAACUUCAAAAAAGGCAAAAUUAUAAAAAGAAUAAAAACUAUCAAAAACAACAAGAACUUUCAGAACUCUUUAAACUUCGAUAGUAUGGAAUGUCAUUAACAUAUGGACUUUGUGUUUGAUCGUUUGGUGAAUCGAAUUUGUAAACAGCGAAUUUCGUAAGAAUUAUUUUUAUUACUAUAUUUCAUAGCUGCAAAACGAGAUGGAACUAACAGACACUAUAUAAUUAUUUCAAUUAUUUUUAUUAUUAAUGAAUUGAUUCAAAAUUUAUUUUAUCAUAUUUAAUAUUCAAAAGAUUUUCAAGAUAAUGAAAUUUGAUUUUUCAUAUAAAAAAAAAUUUACUUUUUUUUAAAUAAGUUUUCAAAGUCUCCUUCAAUUUUUUUUAUGUAACAUUAUAAUUUUUUUUGUCUAUCAGCAUGUUUAUAUCAAGACGAAUUCAUCAAUAUUAUCGAUAUAAAUAAGCGAUAUAAAAACAAUUUCUUUUUAUCUAAUGAA